CCUACGGGAGGCAGCAGUGGGGAAUUUUGGACAAUGGGCGCAAGCCUGAUCCAGCAAUGCCGCGUGAGUGAAGAAGGCCUUCGGGUUGUAAAGCUCUUUUGUCAGGGAAGAAACGGUGAGCUCUAAUACAGUUUGCUAAUGACGGUACCUGAAGAAUAAGCACCGGCUAACUACGUGCCAGCAGCCGCGGUAAUACGUAGGGUGCAAGCGUUAAUCGGAAUUACUGGGCGUAAAGCGUGCGCAGGCGGUUUUGUAAGUCUGUCGUGAAAUCCCCGGGCUCAACCUGGGAAUGGCGAUGGAGACUGCAAGGCUAGAGUUUGGCAGAGGGGGGUAGAAUUCCACGUGUAGCAGUGAAAUGCGUAGAUAUGUGGAGGAACACCGAUGGCGAAGGCGGCCCCCUGGGUCAAAACUGACGCUCAUGCACGAAAGCGUGGGGAGCAAACAGGAUUAGAUACCCUGGUAGUCCACGCCCUAAACGAUGUCUACUAGUUGUCGGGUCUUAAUUGACUUGGUAACGCAGCUAACGCGUGAAGUAGACCGCCUGGGGAGUCGGUCGCAAGNUUAAACUUAAGGAAUUGACGGNNGAGAGNGCGAGACGACGACGAGGAGAGG
rnacentral:rRNA from 1 species